GGUGGCCCAGUGGUAGAGUACUUGCCUUGCAUGCAUGAGGCCCUGGGUUCAAUUCCUCAGCACCA
rnacentral:tRNA from 1 species